CGGGGGGAGGGAGUCCCGUGGCGGGAUUGGGGGUGGGGAGGGCGUCCCGUUUCGUGAGUGUUCCUUCGUUUCUUUAAGAGCUACCAGAAGGCUACCAAGCCCCACCCUGGUAAAGCAAAAAAAAAAAAAAAAAAAAAAAAAAAAAAAAAAAAAAAAAAAAAAAAAGCGAGUGGGGAAGAGCCAGCCCCACGCCGGUCCGCCUCCCGCCCGCUGCCGGGCCUCCCUCCCGCCUGCCCGCCGCCUGGCUCGGAGAUCCUUCGCCCAGAGUUCUCCAUUCCCAGGAUCCCGGGCUCGCGGGGGUGCGGAGAAGACGACCCAGGAAAGGAGUACGGGACAGCCAUCGCUUGACCCAUCCCAGCGGAUCAAGUUUAAGACUCCCCUCCUGCUGCGUGACCAGAGGCCCCCCUCUUCGAUGGACCGAGAACUACGCUGGCUGACAUGGACCCUCCUCAGCAGAAAGUAGCUUAACACCCCUGCCCCACAUUUGUCUCUCACUUCAGUUAGGAAUGGUAGUUUCCUGCUGAAGGACUACACUUCCCAGCUUCCCUUGCAGACUUCAGAGGUCAUUCCUGCCUCUAUAAGGGGCCCCAACCCAUCUUCCCCUGUAGGCAUUUUAGCCACCUGCACCUGUGAGUGACAAAGAGUCCCUCCAUGUGAAUAAACGUGGUUCUGUCUAAGGUUA